rnacentral:sRNA from 1 species
AUACUGGUGAUCGAGCUGUGAUAUCUGUCAUCCCAUUGCUCCUCAUGAUUGAUUCAGCUAUCUGUUUGACUAGGUCUGUGUCACCUUUCUUCCUCACCACUGCAUAUGUAUCCCUCCCAAAGCUGGCUUUUGGUGGAAAAGGAUUGCUGUCCCAGGUAGGAGAUACAAACAUUUAAACUGAAGACAGUCAAAAUAACUUAGUUAAGUAUAAUUAUAUAACUAUUUGAGUAGUUGCUUCAUU